AAUGGUUUAGCCUAGUGGUUAAGGUGUAAGGCUACAACUCAGGUGACCGGGGUUUGAGUCCCUGAACAGGUA